rfam:Haemonchus contortus, ISE/inbred ISE, WGS project CAVP01000000 data, contig: Hcontortus_22080
CCAACGGCCUUUUUUAGGGCCACAAAAAUGCAUUUCAGAUGAAUA